CCUACGGGAGGCAGCAGUGAGGAAUAUUGGUCAAUGGGCGCGAGCCUGAACCAGCCAAGUAGCGUGAAGGAUGACUGCCCUACGGGUUGUAAACCUCUUUUAUAAAGGAAUAAAGUGGGGCACGUGUGCCUUUUUGUAUGUACUUUAUGAAUAAGGAUCGGCCAACUCCGUGCCAGCAGCCGCGGUAAUCCGGAGGAUCCGAGCGUUAUCCGGAUUUAUUGGGUUUAAAGGGAGCGUAGAUGGGUUGUUAAGUAAGUUGUGAAAGUUUGCGGCUCAACCGUAAAAUUGCAAUUGAUACUGGCAGGCUUGAGUACAGGUGAGGUAGGCGGAAUUCGUGGUGUAGCGGUGAAAUGCUUAGAGAUCACGAAGAACUCCGAUUGCGAAGGCAGCUUACUAAACUGCCACUGACAUUGAUGCUCGAAAGUGUGGGUAUCAAACAGGAUUAGAUACCCUAGUAGUC
rnacentral:rRNA from 1 species